rnacentral:rRNA from 1 species
AGUGAACGCUGGCGGUAGGCCUAACACAUGCAAGUCGAACGGCAGCACAGUAAGAGCUUGCUCUUACGGGUGGCGAGUGGCGGACGGGUGAGGAAUACAUCGGAAUCUACUUUUUCGUGGGGGAUAACGUAGGGAAACUUACGCUAAUACCGCAUACGACCUACGGGUGAAAGCAGGGGAUCUUCGGACCUUGCGCGAUUGAAUGAGCCGAUGUCGGAUUAGCUAGUUGGCGGGGUAAAGGCCCACCAAGGCGACGAUCCGUAGCUGGUCUGAGAGGAUGAUCAGCCCCACUGGAACUGAGACACGGUCAAGACUCCUACGGGAGGCAGCAGUGGGGAAUAUUGGACAAUGGGCGCAAGCCUGAUCCAGCCAUACCGCGUGGGUGAAGAAGGCCUUCGGGUUGUAAAGCCCUUUUGUUGGGAAAGAAAAGCAGCAGGUUAAUACCCCGCUGUUCUGACGGUACCCAAAGAAUAAGCACCGGCUAACUUCGUG